AUAUCGGGAAAUUAUAAAAACGAAUUUCAAGUUAAGGAAAUUAACCAAUCAGGAAAGACUAUUUUUCAAUUUCAAACAUUAAACAAACGAAAAUUUAAAUUUUUAGUGUGAUUUUAACCUUGGGGGAGAACACUCGUAAAUUUUGUCCCGUCGAACAUUAUAAACAACAUUUUAGGUUAUGUAAAAAAAUAAAUGUUGACAUAACCUCAAAAAAAAUGUAUUUGACGUGUUUCUCCGAUUCAAAGAAAAAACUAAUAAAAAUAACCUGAUGAAGAAACAUCAUUUUGGUUCCCGUUCCUGAUAAUCCCAGAAUCCCGUACCGUCGCUUUUUUACAAUCAACAAACUAAGCUAAUUGAAAGGAUUAUACUAUAAACAACACAGAUCCCUUUAUCUUUCAUAAAUUUUUAUAGAUUUUCAAGAAAAAUAAAUAAAUAUAACAUUAAUGGAGGGUUGGUUUACGAAUAAGUUAUUAUUUCCUGGGAUGGACGUUUUUAAUUUCUAGUCCGCUUUUCAAGUUGAACUGCGACUUGGUUCCCGGGCCAUUAGUGCAUCGUCUGAAACGACUUUGGUCAUAAAGCAAAGGGACACGCAGUGUUUCACAACGGCACAUUCCGCUUAUCAAAGAAACGUUAACAGCGGCGCACGCAUUAAAUUAUGCAUAUAUCAUUCUCGGGUCGUUGCGUAAUCAAAGCACGACCGAGAGAGCAUUAAAAGCCGGGCUCUGCACAGCGGCAGCGGUGGCGAUUAAAAAAAGGAGGAUACAUGUUAUUUUUUGCGACACGGCCGCCCGCGGGCGCAAACGGGUUAGGUCCGAGUAAUAUAUGGAUAUUAAACGUCACUAGCCCUCGGCCGUUUUAUAAAAAAAGGCGAUGCUACAAAAUAAGGAUUUGUUGGAUAGUUAGAAAAUGUUUACGGGAUUCUUCUUUGAAAAUAUUUCGAAUAUAGAAGCAAUCGUAUAUCACACGGUUAUUAAACGGAUGACCAAACACGAUGGCAAAAUUUACUUCGCCCACAAAGGAUCAGUACGUGACCUGAUUCUACAAACGGUAGUCGGCAACAACUCAGAAUCCCGGUGACCGCUGAUUUGUUUGACGGCGUAUAUCAUCGUUUCGUCACAAUAUUUCGUCCCGGUCCCUCUUUUAUCGGGCAAGUGCAGGCCUUCGGCGUCGUCGUCCCUGGCAAAGUCGUAUCCAGAGCUCGGUCGGCAUCCAUACAUCACGGCACCGAAAUAAAACGGCGCUGAUCUCUCCGGAAGACAGUAGUUUAUGGGGAGGACCCCGGGGAUUUUUCAACGCGCCACCCCAGACAAGACCGUCGUCCUCGUCCUCAUGGGGCGCCUUGCGGCUUAAAGUUUACCUGUAAUUUCAGUAAAAUACGUCUCGAAACGGAAAAGGGAACAUGGGGGAGACGGGAACGGAACUCCGGCGCGUGAAAUUAAUCUGAGAAACAGAUGUUACCACACCGCGUGAUAUUUAAACGUCUUUAGGUGUCUUUGGGUUUCCUUACAUUCUAACGUGUUUUACUGUUGAAAUUGAAGUGUGUUUCUGAUGAUAAUUGCUGAUUAUAAUGGAGGAUAAAUGUUACUAAUUACAUAACCUAUUAAAACUUCUCAACGAACCGUUCAUACACAGACAUCAUUGUAUAAUGUUUUCCAACCAAACUGUUAUCAGUCUCAAAGAAAUGAACGUAAAUCUAAUCCGAUGGUUGUAUAACUUCGGAGAAAGAUGACAUACUGAACUUAAUACACAACUGGAGGUUUCUGCCACUUCUAUGAAUGUAGAAUUCAUCAUCCAAAAAAAUACCAAUAACAGCAUUCCUCAACUUUUGCUAAUGAAGUUCUAAAUCUCGGUGAAUAUGUGAUAACGACGCAAAGGGCCAACCACCACGCCCAAAAUCUAAUCAGGAGACAUGUCAAAAAGACGGAAACAAUCUACAUUUUUCUCUAGUAGGAAAUAUUCUAAGAGAGAGUCUCAUUAUUUCCAAGCCUAACAACAGGUUGAAGAUUCACGUGAGUCAACUCAACGCAAUCAACAAAGAAGAGUAUAGAGAAGAAUUACCAUAAUUAUCAAAUAAACAUAAUAACACCAAGAAACAUAAUGAUUCAGUUAUUUAACAAUAUGUUAUAACCACUCUACAAAGGGUUGAAAUUAAGGAAGGACCGAUAAGAUGUCCUUUUCGAAUGACCACAA